rnacentral:rRNA from 1 species
UGGGGAAUUUUGGACAAUGGGCGCAAGCCUGAUCCAGCCAUGCCGCGUGUCUGAAGAAGGCCUUCGGGUUGUAAAGGACUUUUGUCAGGGAAGAAAAGGCUGUUGCUAAUAUCGACAGCUGAUGACGGUACCUGAAGAAUAAGCACCGGCUAACUACGUGCCAGCAGCCGCGGUAAUACGUAGGGUGCGAGCGUUAAUCGGAAUUACUGGGCGUAAAGCGAGCGCAGACGGUUACUUAAGCAGGAUGUGAAAUCCCCGGGCUCAACCUGGGAACUGCGUUCUGAACUGGGUGACUAGAGUGUGUCAGAGGGAGGUAGAAUUCCACGUGUGGCAGUGAAAUGCGUAGAGAUGUGGAGGAAUACCGAUGGCGAAGGCAGCCUCCUGGGAUAACACUGACGUUCAUGCUCGAAAGCGUGGGUAGCAAACAGGAUUAGAUACCCUGGUAGUCCACGCCCUAAACGAUGUCAAUUAGCUGUUGGGCAACUUGAUUGCUUAGUAGCGUAGCUAACGCGUGAAAUUGACCGCCUGGGGAGUACGGUCGCAAGAUUA